rnacentral:rRNA from 1 species
UACCUGCAGCUCAAGUGGUGGCCGUUAUUAUUGGGCCUAAAACGUCCGUAGCCGGUUUAUUAAAUGCCUGGGUAAAUCGGGCCGCUUAACGGUUCGAAUUCCGGGUAGACUGAUAGACUUGGGACCGGGAGAAGCUAGAGGUACUCCUGGGGUAGAGGUGAAAUUCUGUAAUCCUAGGGGGACCACCAGUGGCGAAGGCGUCUAGCUAGAACGGGUCUGACGGUGAGGGACGAAGCCCUGGGGCGCAAACCGGAUUAGAUACCCGGGUAGUCCAGGGUGUAAACGCUGCUUGCUUGAUGUUAGUCGGGCUCCGAGCCCGAUUAGUGUCGGAGAGAAGUUGUUAAGCAAGCUGCCUGGGAAGUACGGCCGCAAGACUGAAACUUAAAGGAAUUGGCGGGGAGCACAGCAACGGGUGGAGCGUGCGGUUU